GACGAACCGUGCGAACGUUGUUCGGAAUUACUGGGCGUAAAGCGAGUGUAGGCGGUGUGGUAAGUCGGAUGUGAAAGCCCCGGGCUCAACCCGGGAAGUGCACUCGAUACUGCCACGCUAGAGUAUCGGAGAGGUUGGUGGAAUUCUCGGUGUAGAGGUGAAAUUCGUAGAUAUCGAGAGGAACACCGGUGGCGAAGGCGGCUCACUGGCCCGAUACUGACGCUGAGGCACGAAAGCGUGGGGAGCAAACAGG
rnacentral:rRNA from 1 species